rnacentral:rRNA from 1 species
ACGGAAGGCAGCAGUGGGGAAUAUUGCACAAUGGGGGAAACCCUGAUGCAGCGACGCCGCGUGAGCGAAGAAGUAUUUCGGUAUGUAAAGCUCUAUCAGCAGGGAAGAAAAUGACGGUACCUGACUAAGAAGCCCCGGCUAACUACGUGCCAGCAGCCGCGGUAAUACGUAGGGGGCAAGCGUUAUCCGGAUUUACUGGGUGUAAAGGGUGCGUAGACGGUUUGGCAAGUCAGAAGUGAAAUCCCGGGGCUUAACUCCGGUGCUGCUUUUGAAACUGUCAGACUAGAGUGCUGGAGGGGCAAGCGGAAUUCCUGGUGUAGCGGUGAAAUGCGUAGAUAUCAGGAGGAACACCGGUGGCGAAGGCGGCUUGCUGGACAGUAACUGACGUUGAGGCACGAAAGCGUGGGGAGCAAACAGGAUUAGAUACCCUGGUA